GGACUACAAGGGUAUCUAAUCCCUUUUGCUCCCCAUACUUUCGAGCCUGAGUGUCAGGAUUUGUCCAGCGGGCUGCCUUCGCCGUCGGUGUUCCUCCAGAUAUCUACGCAUUUCACCGCUACACCUGGAAUUCCACCCGCCUCUCCAAUCCUCUAGACAGAUAGUUUCGGGCGCCGUUCCGGAGUUAAGCCCCGGGAUUUCACGCCCGACACACCUGCCCACCUGCGCUCCCUUUACGCCCAGUGAAUCCGAGUAACGCUUGCAGUCUCUGUAUUACCGCGGCGGCUGGCAC
rnacentral:rRNA from 2 species